UGAUCCUGCCAGUAGUCAUAUGCUUGUCUCAAAGAUUAAGCCAUGCAUGUCUAAGUUUUAAGCGAUUACACUGUGAGACUGCGGACGGCUCAUUAUAUCAGUUAUAGUUUAUUUGAUGGUCGAUUGCUACAAGGAUAACCGUAGUAAUUCUAGAGCUAAUACUUGCACUUCAAACUAGCUUGCUAGUUGCACUUAUUAGAUUCCACGCCAAUGGUGCUUGCACCUUCGGUGAAUCAUAGUAAUUUAGCGGAUCACGUCUUCGGACUGACGCUUCAUUCAAGUUUCUGCCCUAUCAGCUUUCGAUGGUAGUGUAUUGGACUACCAUGGCGUUAACGGGUGACGGAGAAUUAGGGUUCGAUUCCGGAGAGGGAGCCUGAGAGAUGGCUACCACAUCCAAGGAAGGCAGCAGGCGCGCAAAUUACCCAAUCCUAACUCAGGGAGGUAGUGACAAGAAAUAACAAUAACUGACCUUAUAUAGGUAAGUUAAUUGGAAUGAGUACAAUCUAAACACCUUAACGACUAUCCAUUGGAGGGCAAGUC
rnacentral:rRNA from 1 species